rnacentral:rRNA from 1 species
UUUCCGUAGGUGAACCUGCGGAAGGAUCAUUGUCGAACCCUGCAAAGCAGAACGACCCGCGAACAUGUACUAACAACCGGGCGUCGUGGGGAUGGGGCGCUUGUGCUGUCCCUGUGGCGCCUAGUCGGUGUACGUGUCUGGUGACCGCUUUUGUGGCCUCGAGCACGUCGCAUCGGCACAACAACAAACCCCGGCACAGCACGUGCCAAGGAAAACUAAACUUAAGAAGGACCCGUAACACGACGCCCCGUUCGCGGUGUGCUUGUGUGGCGUGGCCUCUUUGUAAUCACAAACGACUCUCGGCAACGGAUAUCUCGGCUCACGCAUCGAUGAAGAACGUAGCAAAAUGCGAUACUUGGUGUGAAUUGCAGAAUCCCGUGAACCAUCGAGUUUUUGAACGCAAGUUGCGCCCGAAGCCUUUCGGCUGAGGGCACGUCUGCCUGGGCGUCACGCAUCGCGUCGCCCCCCACCACCCAUCCCCUAAGGUGAUGCAUGGUACGGGGGCGGAGACUGGCCUCCCGUUCCCACGGUGCGGUUGGCCAAAAUCGGAGUCCCCUUCGGUGGACGCACGACUAGUGGUGGUUGACAAAACCCUCGUCCCGUGUCGUGUGUCGUGAGCCGCGAGGGAAGACCUCUUCAAAGACCCCAAUGUGUCGUCUUGCGACGAUGCUUCGACCGCGACCCCAGGUCAGGCGGGACUACCC